GUCACUAGCCAUAGGUAAGUUGUAAUUUACCCCUGGUGAGUAUGCUAAACCUUGCAGUGACAACGUUUAGGACUUCAAAUUAAAAGAAAAAAAAAAUAUCAAAGUUUGAGUGGCACCAACGAGCAUGUUUAUGAUACAGGUGUGAAGAAAUCCCCCUUUUGUUACGCUAUUUCUGUCCAUUGCAUUCCCUUUUGUUACACUAUUUCUGCCCAUUGCAUUCCCUUUUGUUAC